AGUGAACGCUGGCGGUAGGCCUAACACAUGCAAGUCGAACGGCAGCACAGUAAGAGCUUGCUCUUACGGGUGGCGAGUGGCGGACGGGUGAGGAAUACAUCGGAAUCUACUUUUUCGUGGGGGAUAAUGUAGGGAAACUUAUGCUAAUACCGCAUACGACCUGCGGGUGAAAGCAGGGGAUCUUCGGACCUUGCGCGAUUGAAUGAGCCGAUGUCGGAUUAGCUAGUUGGCGGGGUAAAGGCCCACCAAGGCGACGAUCCGUAGCUGGUCUGAGAGGAUGAUCAGCCACACUGGAACUGAGACACGGUCCAGACUCCUACGGGAGGCGGCAGUGGGGAAUAUUGGACAAUGGGCGCAAGCCUGAUCCAGCCAUACCGCGUGGGUGAAGAAGGCCUUCGGGUUGUAAAGCCCUUUUGUUGGGAAAGAAAAGCAGCAGGUUAAUACCCCGCUGUUCUGACGGUACCCAAAGAAUAAGCACCGGCUAACUUCGUG
rnacentral:rRNA from 1 species